rnacentral:rRNA from 1 species
UACAGAGGUCUCGAGCGUUAGGCGGAAUCACUGGGCGUAAAGCGCGUGUAGGCGGCUUUGCAAGUCGGGUGUGAAAGCCCUCAGCUCAACUGAGGAAGUGCGCCCGAAACUGCAGAGCUUGAGUGCCGGAGGGGAGAGUGGAAUUCCUGGUGUAGCGGUGAAAUGCGUAGAUAUCAGGAGGAAUACCGGUGGCGAAAGCGACUCUCUGGACGGCAACUGACGCUGAGGCACGAAAGCGUGGGGAGCAAACAGG